UAAAUUAAUAUAAGAAAUUUGUAAUAAUUUGUAAAAUUUUUACUCUUGAAGGGUGUGCGUGUGCGUGUACGUGUACGUGUGCAUGCAUGAUGACGUUACAUGACGUAAAAUUGAAUGAAUAGAUAAGGGUUCUCCUAAAUAUAGAUUUUUCACACUUUCUGAUUUGUAUCGUAUUGCUUCAGGUUGUUAUUUAUGCAGCGAUUGCAACAAAUGCAGUUCAAAUUUUAAAAAGUAUUGAUUGCAUAUGCUCUGUUGGUGUUCCAUUACUAUUACUGCUAUUAUUACUCUUAUUUUUUUAUUUUUGACUAUUACUACUUUUUUUUUUUCUUUAUAAUUUAAUUUCAGUCCAAAAAUUGCAUAACUCUUGCUUUCAGUGUUUAAAGACACGCUGGUGCAAUGAUUUGUAAUUGAGUGUAUGUCCAAAUUUAUUUCAUGUAACUUAAGCUGCAAUUGAAUCAUGCAAAAAUGAAUUGUGAUUGUGUGCGUGUGUUGUAAAGGUGAUAUAACGGUCUUAAAAAUACAUAUACAAUUUGAAAGAGAAAAGUUCUUUAAAUAUAACGUAAUAAAAGUGAGUUCUUUGAGGCAUGCAUUGGUCUUGUGAAAGAAUUGACGGUAGCUUGUGCAAUUGAAAGAAAGUUAGUGUAAAGGCAACGAUAAGAAUCCUAAUAAGAAGCCUCAUUAAUUCGAAGGGUAUCGAUCAUGUUAUGGCUUACAAUUUCAUUUUUGUUUUUUUUCUUUUUAACAGCAUUUCAUUAACAAUGCGAAAAAUGUAUAUACCUGAGAGCGGGUUUUAAAUGUCAAGGAAUUUAUUAGGCUAACUAACUUAAAUUCAUAUAUUGCAUAAUUCUGAACGGAUAAGCCAACAAAGCUGUCCUAUCUUCGCAUAAGCGUAACACGUAGUGCAUUGCUUACAUAAAAAAAGUAUUAAGACUUUAGAGGCCAAGUUGAAGAUUCUAUACAUUCAUCAUUUUAUUCUGUGAUU